UCAAAUGAUGCCACUUUUUGUUUCUAGGCCUCCAGAAGUUGUCCAUUUUAAACUUGAAUACAUUCUAGUGUUUCUCUGUCUGGCAACUCACUCAAUAUUCAUCUUGAGCUCCUUAUAGAAACUUUGCAAGAUCUUGUUUGGACUUUUUUUUUUUUAAAAAAAGUAUGGUUUAAUGCAAGGCUGCCAUCCUUGUUGCCAAUCAACUGGCUGGCGGGGGACUUAUCUAUGGAAGGGAAGGCUCAUGAUGCAGUGGCAUUUCUGGCACAUAUGUUGCCACUUGCCAGUGAUGUGGGAGGCUCUGAUUUUCAGGAUUUUCAGGAAAAAAGGAGUUAAUCACAGAGUCUUUGUCCAAAUACCAGAAUCUCCCUUAUUGACAAAAAAUGUAUCGCUGUCGCUUCCAGUGCACACCAGAAGUGAUGUCGCUGGCAACAAUGCGGUGCCACUGGCCUAGGUUUUCCCUAACCUCCCCCACCUUUUGUUGCCCUGCUCUUUGAAAAAAGCACACACACACGGGUUUUUGAACUCUUAUGAGAUUACCAUCUCUUGUGAGAUUUCCACCACUGUAUUGCAUACCCAGGAAACAGGCAAUCAGCAAUGGUGGCCAGAUUCUCACCAGAAGAUUGAAUCUUGGUGUGAGGUAAAUAAAUUGGCACGUGUAGUUUGCCACUCUGCUUGUAAAGAGGACUAGGGGAUUGACGUGAGGCUCCUGGGGUGGCAAGGGAAGUGCGUAGGCAGUCAGCUGACUCGCUGGUGGCAGGGGAGAUGAAAGGCACCCGCCCCUCAGAAUCUGAACCCCCAGGUGACUGCUUCAAGUCACCUCCUAAGACAGCCGGCACUGUCACCACACCACAGCUAAGCGAGGAUUUUAUUUUGAUUUCUGGAGGCCUAUAUGAUUAGGAUGGACCUCAGGCAAGAUGUUCUAUUAGGCUGUGCCAAUUAGAAGGAUUCUGCUUUAUCGCCAUGUUCUUCUACAUGACUUUUUGCAGGUGUGUUUCAGUACUGCUGAUCUUCAUGCAGAUUUACAGAUAUUGAACAUCCCAGUGAUGUUUCUGGCAAAACUAGUUUUCUCCAGAGAAAAUAAAUAGCUGAGCCAUGUCUAUGUAUAAUUUAUUUUUAAAUGCUUCUUAUAAGAGGUGUAAAAUGUCUUUGUGUGAGGUGGAUUUACAGUAAGUGUGAGACUUGUGGAAAAUGUUUUUUAAUAAUAGUGAAUAUUGGGUAAUUUAAAAAAACAGAUCACUGUAGUUGUGGCAAUAAAAACAGGGUUUGCAAUAUAUCUAACAAAAGCAAAAUUCAAGAGUAUUUUGCCAUUGUACAAAUAACCUCCAAUGUUAAAUUAUUAUUUUUUAUUUCUAUGAUGUACAGUCUCUGUAUAUGUUCAAUUUUCACAAUGCUGUUUUACUUGAUGGUCCUACCUUUAAAGGCUGGUGAACAUAGGCACAUUUAUAUCACUUGAUGACUGAAACGAGUGUAGAUGCAUGAUCAUAGAUAUAAUUGCACAAAGGAAAUUUCUGUGUUACCUCACAUAACUUCAAAAUGGGUGUUUCCGAACAGAAUGAGUUCAUACAUCAGGGUGGAACUGUAUUGUAUAAGAAAGCCAUUGCUUCCACAAAAUGUGACAUUUUGCCCUGCGUCAUCAUGCUGUGUGUGUCCCUAUCUAUGGCCCACAGCAUUGGAACAAAGAAAUACUUGCCAUAGCAUGUUGGGAGGUCAGACCAGUUGUAUUGCCUGGAGAAAUGGGGAGGAAGCUCUCAACACAAGGCUUCCAGCCUGGAGCCCAUUGUAGAGUAUAGUUCUACUAUCAGCUGCUAGCUGUCAAACACAGAAGAAUUAACUGCAAAGAAAUCAAGUGGUAUACAUGCCUGUGAGAACCAGCACAUGUUUAAUAUUUGUUCAGGUAUCUCAUUGUCUUAUAUGACCCUUUGCUGCGUUGCACAUUAUGUGCUGGUAAAACAAACUGUAGUGCAUGUUCCUCUGUUGUCAGGUGCUAUAUGAUGGUAUAUUUAAUUUGCAAUCCAAACCGCCUCAAACUAUUUAAAGGGUUUCUUCUGUUUUGCACACUACUUUCUCUCUUUAGAGAUGUGGGAUGGAGGAAAAAUGUACCCCACAUUCUCAGAAUAAAGGGAUCUUUAAAGAGUUAAAGGCAGAACUAUGUUUUAGAAAGAAUACAGGUCUGUUGCCAAAAAUGGCUCCCCUAUGUUGAGUCUCCACCCUCCUAGUUUUGAAAUGUCUAGUUGGACUUAUGGUGUGUUCUGAUGUCUUUAGGUGGGUCAUACUGAACAGGUGGUGGUGGACCAUGCUGUCAAGUUGCAGCUGAUUUGCGAUGAUCCCAUAGGGUUUUUAAGGCAAGAGACAUUCAGAGGAGUUUUGCCAUUUGUGUAGUGACCCUGGACUUCCUUGACCCUGGACUUCUAUCCAAGCUCUAACCAGGGCCAACCUUGCAUAGUUGCUGAGAUCUGAUGAGAUGGGCUGGCCUGAGCCAAUCAUAUCAGCAUAUUGAAGAAGUAUCUGUUAUGAAAAGCAAAGGGAGCUCAAAACGGGACUACCAAUUUUUGCCACUGUUCCAUCAGGGAUUGUUCUUUUUUGUAAUGUGUAGUUCUGCCGUAAACAUAGUAGCUCUUUAAAAACAACAACUCAAGAAUGAAGUAGCUUUUUCAUCGUUAAAUACUUCACAGCAGCACUUUUUGAUGACCAUGAGUCACUAAAAAACUGAAUUUGAUGAUUCUAUAUGGCUAUGAUUAAUUUUCAUCUCAUUUUAAGUUGCUGUUUUUAAUUAAAAGCACUGUAGGCUGCAUGUGUCAUUUCCCCUGAUCCUGAAUUGUUCGAGUCACCAGCUGCUGAAUCAGUCAGUUUCAAAGCAGUUAGAAUGCACUGUAACCCCAGAAAAAAACACUUUAGACUACUGUAAAAAUCUAAUAAAAUGCUAUAUUUCUGAAUCAUUGUAUUGGUACGUUAUAUAAUGCUUCCUUGUAGACCAGUAGUUUCUAAGUAUUAUUGACAACUCAUCUAAUCUUUCUACUACGUAAGGAUGUGCACUGAGAAAAAUUUGGUCAUAAUUUCUGAUCCGGGAUUCAAGGAGGUCAACUUAACCAUUCUUCAUUUUGGGGUAUGACGGUACUGGAUUCAAUUCCAUGGGCAGGAGUUGGAUUCUGGAAUUUCAGGACCACUAUUUUCGAGGGUCUGGUGCAGCUGUUUCUAAAGCACACAGUCCUCCCUUUAAACUACAGACCCACAAAGUUUCAAGCAGAAAAGACUAAGGGGAGAAAUUUUACAGACCCCUGGUACACUUUUCUCCACUGUUUCCUAUGGCAGGGAAUGGAUCAUGCUGACCACCAACGUUUAAAAAAAUUCUGGCUGCAUCUGAUUUCUUUACGUACAGUGACUGAAUGACAAUAAAAAUCACCUUUCUGCUGAAAA